AUCUAUCUAUCUAUCUAUAUCUAUCUAUCUAAUCUUCAGAGUCUCAUUUAUCUUGCUUGGGACCAUUUGAAAAUCAUCUUCUUUCGAUUCGGCUUUCUUUUAAAAACCAAUAAUGGUAUCCACUUCUCAGAUUCUGAGUGCAUGUGGUGUGAUAGGCUAUUAUUUUUUCUUUCAGGAAGCUUUGGGAGCAGAUGCCUUAUGAGCCACAAAGGAAGAAAAUGGUACCUUGGCUCCUGAACAGUUUAGUUGAUGAACAAAUCGGCUCCUGGACGCCGCAAAACCGAAAGGAUUUGAACCACCGACCUUCUGAUUGCAAGUCCUAGGCUCUGUGGUUUAACCCACAGCGCCACCGGCGUCCCUCUACAAAGGGCAGUGCUAGCUAAAAUUUGGGGCUGGAUUUAAGCAAUGAAUUAAUCUGAAUGGCUGUUUCCUUUCAACCUUGUUGAGAACGUAAUGUUAAAGGUGCCUUGGAGAGGCAGCACAGAACGGUCUCUGGGUGUGAUAACAGUCCCACCUCUUGAUGGAAACUGCUGGCAAAAGCUCCCUCUUGUGGACACAGCUCCCUCUUUGGCUACACCUGAAGUCAGACACAGUAACUGGUUGACGCCCAGUCUCUGAUUUUCAAGGGUGCUAUGUGCAUGCAGUGUGAAAGGUUGGCAGCAAGCGGUGAUGGCAUAUUGCCUUGCCUGUGGGCUCUCGGCUGCUGCCAUGUUCUUGAAUGCAGCGAGGUGAUGACGGCUUCUCUCUACAGGUGUGAGAUCUGUGGAUACCAAUGCCGGCAGUGAGCUUCUCUCAACUGGCACAUGAAGAAGCAUACCUCAAAAGCCCAGUACAACUUCACUUGCGAGCACUGCAGAAAGCGCUUUGAGAAACUGGACGCUGUCAAGUUCCACAAGCUAAAGAGCCACCCUAGAUCACAAAGCUGCCUGAUCCUGACUAUGAACCUCUUUAUUGAAUGCCCCAUUACAGGUUCCUUUUUAAACAAAAAACAAAAAACAACAACAAUUUUUAUUAGGAAUUUCAACAAUUAACAAU